ensembl:misc_RNA 7SK 7SK RNA
AGAUGUGAGGGCUAUCUGGUUGUGGCAUCAGUCACCCCGUUGAUAGCCAGGGUUGAUUUGGCUGAAUUGGCUGGCUGGGCGGGUGUCCCCUUUUUCCCUCACCACUCCAUGUGGAUCCCUCCCGAACCUGCACUCUCAGUUGAACAGGAUGACCGUCAAAGAGGACAACCAUCCCUGAUAGAGGAGGACCAGUCUUCAGUCAAGGGUAUAAGAGUAGCUUCACUCUCCUGCUAGAACCUCCAAACAAGCUCUCAGGGUCCAUUUGUAGGGGAACAUAGGGUAGUCAAGCCUCCAAGACUCCAGAUACAUCCAAAUGAGGUACUUCAUUGGUGAGCUGUGAAUUUUU